GGAGCGGUGACUGAGUGGUAAGGUAGCGGUUUGCUAAACCGUACACGGUUAAACGUGCGCAGGUUCGAGUCCUGCUCGCUCCGCCA
rnacentral:tRNA from 1 species